rnacentral:rRNA from 1 species
UACGUAGGGGGCUAGCGUUGUCCGGAUUUAUUGGGCGUAAAGAGCGUGUAGGCGGCCAGAUAGGUCUGCUGUGAAAACUCGAGGCUCAACCUCGAGAUGUCGGCGGAAACCAUUUGGCUAGAGUCCGGAAGAGGAAAGUGGAAUUCCUGGUGUAGCGGUGAAAUGCGCAGAUAUCGGGAGGAACACCAGCGGCGAAGGCGGCACUCUGGGCUGGAACUGACGCUGAGGCGCGAAAGCCAGGGGAGCAAACGGG